rnacentral:rRNA from 1 species
GAUGAACGCUGACAGACUGCUUAACACAUGCAAGUCUACCAAGAAUCACUUCGGUUAGGAAUGGUGGCGGACGGGUGAGUAACGCGUAAAUAAUCUGCCCUUUAGACUGCGAUAUCCUUUGGAAACGAAGGUUAAUACCGGAUAUUAUGAGAUGGACGCAAGUUCAACUUUUGAAAGCUAAAUGCACUAGAGGAGGAGUUUGCGUCCCAUUAGCUAGUUGGUGAGGUAAAGGUUCACCAAGGCCACGAUGGGUAGCCGGCCUGAGAGGGUGAACGGGCACGAGGGAACUGAGACACGGUCCUUACUCCUACGGGAGGCAGCAGUGGGUAAUAUUGGACAAUGGACCAAAAGUCUGAUACAGCAAUUCUGUGUGCACGAUGAGGGUCUUCUGAUUGUAAAGUGCUUUCGGUAGGGAAGAAAAAAAUGACGGUACCUACAGAAGAAGCGACGGCUAAAUAUGUGCCAGCAGCCGCAGAAAUAC